rnacentral:tRNA from 1 species
GGGGUUGUGGCUCAGUGGUUGAGCACUUACUUCACAUGUGUGAGGCACUGGGUUCAAUUCUCAGAACCGCA